CUGACUGCCACGUGGCUCAUUAUUUAUCCCUGUGAAACUCUGUGGAGUUAUUUGAAAGGGCAGAAAGGAUGGAAACUUCUUCAGGGAGCCUUAUAGUCUAGGGCUUAAAAUACUGGUUUAAUGGUGAAGAUAAAAAUCAGUCGUGGUGAAAGAGAUUCGGGGCAGAGGGAAAGUCCACAGACUGGGCCACCACUUCCCAGAGAAGCCAAAUGGACAAGAAGCCUUCUGCUGGGAAAGGUCCAGACUUCUGUUCGUUACGCUAUGGACUGGCUCUCAUCAUGCACUUCUCAAACUUCACCAUGAUAACCCAGCGUGUGAGUCUGAGCAUUGCAAUCAUUGCCAUGGUGAACAGCACUCAGCAGCACGGUCUGCCCAAUGCCUCCACAGAAGGACCUCUUGCAGACACCCUCAACAACCCCAGCAGAUCCAUGAAGGAAUUCAAUACAGGGGCCUCUGUAUAUGAAUGGAGCCCAGAAACUCAGAGUAUCAUCUUUAGCUCCAUCAGCUAUGGGAUAAUAGUGACUCUGAUCCCAAGUGGAUACUUAGCAGGGAUAUUUGGAGCAAAACAGAUGCUGGGUGCUGGUUUGCUGAUCUCCUCCCUCCUCACCCUCUUUACGCCAUUGGCCGCUGACUUCGGAGUGAUUUUGGUUAUUGUGAUUCGGACAGUCCAGGGCAUGGCCCAGGGAAUGGCAUGGACAGGUCAGUUUACAAUUUGGGCCAAGUGGGCUCCCCCACUUGAACGAAGCAAGCUCACCAGCAUUGCGGGCUCAGGGGCAGCGUUUGGCUCCUUCAUCAUCCUCUGCGUGGGGGGGCUAAUCUCGCAGGCCUUGGGCUGGCCGUUUAUCUUCUACGUCUUCGGUGGCAUCGGCUGUGUCUGCUGUCUCCUGUGGUUCACGGUGAUUUAUGAUGACCCCGUGCGUCACCCAUGCAUAAGCGCCCGGGAAAAGGAAUACAUCGUGUCCUCACUGGCUCAACAGUCCAGUUCUCCCAGAAGAUCUGUCCCCAUAAAGGCUAUGGUCAGAUGCCUGCCACUUUGGGCCAUUUUCAUGGGGUUUUUCAGCCAUUUCUGGUUAUGCACCAUAAUCAUAACAUACCUGCCGACGUACAUCAGCUCUGUGCUCCACGUUAACAUCAGAGAUAGUGGGGUUCUGUCCUCCCUGCCUUUCAUUGCUGCUUCGAGUUGUACGAUUCUAGGAGGCCAGUUGGCAGAUUUCCUUCUGUCCAGGAAUCUUCUCAGAUUAAUCACCGUACGAAAACUCUUUUCAUCUCUAGGGCUCCUCCUUCCAUCACUAUGUGCCGUCGCCUUGCCCUUCGUGGCUUCCAGCUACGUGACAACCAUUAUUUUGCUGAUACUUAUUCCUGGGACCAGCAACCUGUGUGAUUCGGGGUUCAUCAUCAACACCUUAGAUGUCGCCCCCAAGUAUGCGAGCUUCCUCAUGGGAAUCUCAAGGGGAUUUGGGCUCAUCGCAGGAAUCAUCUCCUCCACUGCCACCGGAUUCCUUAUCAGAUUCUGUGUCUGGAUGGAGGAAUGUCUUCUUCCUGUCCGCUGCCGUCAACAUGUUUGGCAUGCUUUUUUACAUCACAUUUGGACAAGUAGAAAUCCAGGACUGGGCCAGAGAGAAGACCCUCACCCGCCUCUGAGGAUAUUGAACCAUGAACCGAAACGCAGUGCUGACGUUUUUUACGUCACACGUAUUGUCAUCCUUUCUACAUGUUCUUGGCCGUAGGCUUAGCGGUCCUCAACUCUGGCUGCGUGUUGGACCUCCUGGGGAGUCCCUAAACCACACAGAUGACACAGCCAACCGCAGAGACUCUGAAUGAACUGGUCUGUGGGAGAGCCUGGGUGCCACAGGUGGUUAGACAUGCGGCAGGGUUUCUAGCAUGCAGCCAGGGUCGACAGCUGCUGGACGCACUGGAAACGUCAAUGUCUGUUGUCUUUGAAGUUUCCUCUUUGGAAAGUACUGGGUGAAUAAAAAUCUAUGUGAAAAUAAUCACUGCUCAAGUACCUUCAUGGGGGUGAUUAUGGACACAGAGAAGACCUGCUAGGAGCCCUAGUCAUACAUUAUAGAGCUCAGCAUGGAACAGAAAUUUAAGGCUGUAAUCCACAGAAUUAACUUUUUUAUUAUUUGUAUACGUUGUGUGAAACGUGGAUGUUUAUUUAUGUGGCUAAAUUCUAUUAAAAUUCAUGUGCUAAAGUUAAAUAGACCAUUUUCAAUUAUUUAGAUCAGGAUUAUUUCCAUCAGGUGAAACAGAUAUCUACUUAUCCUUAGCUAGAUUCCAGGGAAUUUAUGACCAGGAAAUGACCAGGAAGAGAUUAAAUGAAUGAGGUUAACUAAAAAUCAAGGGAGAGAAAAGACAGGCUCAAGGGGAGGCAAGAUGGGCUCUUCCAGAAGGUACAGAGGGCUAGUUUGGACCAUUUAAUGAAAAUUGAAGGGAGGCAACAGAGAUGCUUUCAAGUGAAAUGAUGACUUAUAAGGAGAAUACUGAAGGUAUAACAAGAUGGAAGAAAGCACAGAAUGACCUCACAUACCACAGACAUUUCUUUUUUGGGAUUGAAAAAGAUCAUUUGACCUUCCUAUUUUCCCAGGACUCAAAUAGUCAUCAUUGUCUCCAACAGGAAUUAAUUGUGGUUCCAACCUUUAAAACACAUCCUCUAGGCUGUGAGAGCUGACUCAUACACAGAGCUGAUGCCAGUUUUGCUGCAACUGUUCUAGAAGACAAAUUCCUGCCAUUUUAAAAACCCCACAGAACCACAGGGAUGGACCUUGGGCUAACCUAGCAGAUGAUGAGACUCUCCUAACGUGAAUCAAGUUACUUUUGAGGAGGUGUUUCAAAGAAAGCAGAUGGCAAGGCUCUGAGGAUGACGCUAAGACAAGAACGCUCUGGCUCUGUGCUCUGCAUAUUUACAAUACAGAGAAGAAGGGGACUUUGUAGAAAACAAAACGAAGAGAAAAAGAGAAGAGUCGUAAAAUGGAUGGGCAAAUUAAAUAUAGGAAAAAAUGAAUAAAAAAUGGCAGACAACCCAACAUGGGCCAAGGUCUCGAACAGAGACUUCAUGAAAGAGAAAUUCUAAGUGGCCUAAAGAUAUAAAAGGUGGUCAACUUGGCUAGACAUUAGACAAAUGAAAAUUGAAAACACUGCAAGAUAGCGCCACGCUGCACUUCAACAGAAUGGAUGGAGACAGUGAGAGAAAACAUGGAACAAAUUGGCAAGGGUCUGGAGCCCACUGCACAUGAGUGCGAUUUAGAACCUCUGGAAUCUGCUUGGCCACAUCCCCUCAAGCCAAAUGUAGGCAUUCCAAUGACAGACACCUCACUUAGAAACAUCCCUCCACGCUCAGAACAAGAGGUGCAACAGUGUUCAGAGUAGCCCAACAGGAACCAACCCAACCGUCUGCCAAGAGAAGAAUGAGUGAAUCAAUAAAGGUCUAUUCACACAGCAAGGGGAGUAAGGACCACAGUAUGCCACGGCACGGAUGGUUCUCAUAGAUAAACGCUGAAGUAAAGGUUUUAAAAACAGACAAAACUAGUUUAUCCUCUUAAACAUCCAGAUAGGGCUUCCCCUCCAUAGGGAUGGAAGCAGUUACCUGAUGGGGGAUGAAAUGGAGGCCCCCGGGCAUUGGUAUCUCCCACGACCUGGGUGCUGGUCAUACACGGUGCUUUUACUUUGUGGAAAGUGUACAUUUAUGUAGGUAAAAAGUAAAACAUUUAUUUAAAACAAAUCCAAUGUUUCAUUUAUCUCAAAGCCUCUCUUCCGUCCUGGGCUUAGGUCUGAUAAGUGAAGCGGGCAGGAAGGAGCCACUUUCCUGUUCUCCCUGGCCAUCCCCCUCCUCCUCUUCCACGGGGCCCUCCAGCACCGGAGCAGAAGGGAAGGCAGCCGGACGAUCGAUGCUGUCAGGUUUGGAUCACAGUCUAAGUUCCCAAACAGCAACAUGAAUGAGCUCAGGCUUCCCACGCAUGGUUCUGGAAGCAUCCGUUGCCUCGGAGUUAUUGUGGAAGAGAGCCACUUCUAUCUGAGACAGCUGUUUGCCAGAAUAAAGCGAAGGUGGCUUCACCUUCAGAACCUCCUGCGGCCGCUCUGGAUGCCACUGCAGUUCUUAGGACCUGAGCUUUCCCCCAAGCGAUGUCAGUUUGUGUGAUGAUUAAUUCAUAUUAAUGAGUAUGCAGAGGUUGCUGAGUGCAUGGACAUCCCCAACCAGAACGUAAUGGCUUCCGGUUUGUGUUGAAACCGCUUCCCAAGUGGUCAUGUCUAGUCACUUUUCUGAAAGCAGGGGAGUACCCUCUCCCCGUUGUUAUGUGACUCUUCAGUUCCAGAAAGUGCCCUCUAGUUUUAAGGGUGAAUCAUCCCCAACGGUCCAAGGCCCCAGCUCCACUUCUACCCCCGGCUCCCAGGAACCCAGCAGAGAAAUGGGUGCCGCAGACAUAGAAGUCUCAGGGAAGCAGAGGGGCUGAGCAUCAUUGAAAUGGGUGCACAAUACCCUCGCUGACGACCCUGUUAUCACCCAGGAGCUUGAAAAAGCCAGUUUGGCAUUUGGAGCUAUAUAUUUUGUUGGGAUUCUUGGAAGCGGUCCUGAGGAAUGCCUGUCUAACCAUGUCGUUGUGUGGAACAUGCAGAUGCUGCCACUCCAAGGCUGGACAGAAACGGGUCUUUGGCUUCACGCACAGAUACAAGGAAGAACUAGACUGUGUCAAACAGGUUCAGAUUAGUGACCUAGAAAAUCAUCUGUAAGUAAGUUAUAAUGAAAUUGAGAAACUCUUCCUUUCAUGCAAAUAUCAUCACUAUUCAUAUAUUUCUUCAAAGUCAAUUAUCAUCAAUCUUUAUGAAUUCUUUUCAACAGUAAUUUAAUAGUUCCUUCUCAAGAUUAGCCUUUCGUCUUAAGGUUGAUGCUCUCCAUGUCCUUUCAGAAAAAGAUUGGUUGCCUUGUAGCCUGGCCUCUGGAUGGGAUUAUCUUUUUUGUUCUUCAUUUAUAUAUGCUUUGAGCAAUUUCUAUGUGUGUCUGGGUGAGGUAUUGGAGGCACAGUGACAAGUGAUGCCAGUGUUGUCCUCAUCAUGGAAGUUGACAUCUUAGAUGGGGACUAAUACUCUCAUUCCAAACAUAUAUACCCCAUGCCUGGCCAGGGUGGUGAGCAAACAGAUACAGUCCCUGUCCAAAGAAAGCAAGCAAGGCAGUUAGUAAGUUAAUAUUGAGCGGGGGUGAUAGACAUUAAGGAGAAAAAUUAAGCAGGGAAGAAGGACUCACUGAAAAGGAGACAUUUGGGUAAAGUGCUAAAGAGGGAAAGGGAAACAGGGAAAUGGGCUUUGGAGGAAAAGCAACUGGGCAGAUGUUAAAUGAUAAACUCCAUCAUCAGUCCCAUAUUACAAUUAGGAAGAGCACUGGGAAUGCAGUAUAGAAGGACAGGAAAGAUUGGAGAGAACACCAUGUGGCCAUGAAAGACCUCAUCAAGAAAGUGACACUGACUUGACUAGAGCCGAGCUCUGCAAGUUAGCAAGCAUUACUCCAUAAAGAAAAAUAAUGAGUGUGUUCCAGGCAAAAGAACCAGCAUGUAUGAGAAGAAGAUGAAUAAUAAAAAUAAUAAUAUAAUAGAGCCAACAUUUGUGGCAUGCUUAUUAUAGGCCGGUUAAUCAUCACAACAAUCAAUCCAGUGGUGAGGGAGCAUUAAUACCCCAUUAUAUAAUGAGGCCACAGAGACAGAAAAGAUAUCAUGUAGUAAGAUUUAGAAUACAGGCAAUUUGAUGGGAUCUUAAUGAUCAGGAAAUCUUGGAAGAUGCGAAAUGAUGCUUUUCAGAAAUUGAAGAUAGCCAUGAUUUUGAGAAACACAUAAGUUGACACCAUUAUGGAAGUUAAUAGCUUCUCGGGCAGGGUGCUGAGAGCCUUCUUAGUGUGUGCCCAGUGUUUCAAGGGAACUUAUAGAAGAAUAGCAAACAGCUAGGAGACAAUUUGAUUCAAAGCUAAACCAUGCUUUAGUUAAAAUGGUUCCACUUACAAGACAGAAGGAUAUUAUUUAGCAUUUGACUUCAAAUAAAGGCUAAUCAGACUGAUUAAUUAAAGGCUUCCAAAACACAAUGGGGCACCAAGUAACCAGAGCCGGCGCGCUCUCCAGGUAUGAACACGAGGAGUAUCUGGGCGGCAGCCUAAGGCUAACUCCCACUCACCUUGCUGAUGGCUCCAUUUCUGUCCUAAAAUCAGUAAGUCCCCAGUUGAUCAGUUUAUCGAAAGCCCUAACUAAACCCAGCUGCCGCAUUUAGAAGGGACUGCUCCCAGUGGGCAGUUGCCUGACUACACUAUGAGGUGAACAGGCUCUAUGCCUGGAUUCCCCACGGCCCGCUUUCCAGAGUUCCUGGAGCACUGAAGGGGGACCUCGGCACCCUGGUAAGCUGAGUGGGUUCUUCUGUCUGCUUUACUAUUGAAAACUCUCUUCUCUGGGUCUGGGCUUUUCUCCAGCAAUAUUUGAUUUGUUUUCCAUUAUAUAAUUUGGCACUGAACAUAUCACUGCUGCUGGCUCAGCAAUUCCAGGGUCAUCGCCCCAUUGCCCCGUGGAAGGGUUUCAUAGCGUCUGCCAUUGUCCUUUUUAUACUCUGAUUUCAGCAUUGCCAUCUACCCCCUGAGAUACUGCAGCUCUCUUUCCCUCUCCCCAUGUCUUAUUGGCUUCUGACUAUCCCCCUUUCCCUACACUUCUAUUUUCCUUGCUUGCCAUCAUCUCGUGUCCAGAAGCACCUGCAAACCUUAGUUCUUUGUAGGGAUCAAACCCCAGGCCUCUCCACUAGUCACAGUAUAUACUCCCUGGUUCCCAAGCCACCCGGUCUUUCAUAUUUAUUUCUCAUUGCACGUGCUUUCCCACCUGGAAAACUCUUAGCAAACACCCCCUGCCCUAGGAUGCCAGGUAAAUCAGUCACCCUAGAUAGUCUUGUCACAUCUUAUUUUAAAGUUUUUUUUUUAAGAUUUUAUUUAUUUAUUUGACAGAGAGAGAGACAGCCAGCGAGAGAGGGAACACAAGCAGGGGGAGUGGGAGAGGAAGAAGCAGGC